rnacentral:lncRNA from 1 species
GAGAUUACAAAGGUGGUCCUGACCUUUGAUAAAUCUCAUUAUUGCUUGAUACCAACCUGGGCUAUCUUUAUUGCCCAAACCAAUAGGAUAAUGUGCUGAGGUUAGGGAGCUUCUCCCCCGCAGAUAAUCCCUGAUCUCCCAAAAUUUGGUUGACAUCUAAGGUUGAUUGCCAUACAACUCCUUUUCUGAAGUUUUACUUAUUUCCAACAAGGCAAGUUUUCCUGCUUCCAUGAUGAUGGAGAGCAGGCACCUCCUUUCUUGAGUUUCAGCUUGCUUCUGACAGGGAAGGUGAGUGUAAGUUUUUUCCAGCUUCUAAGAUGGCAGAGAACAAUCACCAGCCUGAGACUUAUUUCCAGCAGAGCUGGAAGCUGUAUCUUCAAAAUAUGUCUGUUUGACUCAAAACAAUCAAGGUAUUCAACAGGAGUUAUUAUGUAUGAAAAAAUACAACAGGAAUGUAAAAAACUUGAGGCUAAAAAGAUGUUGGAAGAAGUAAUAUUAAAUCUUAAAAAACGUAUGGAAAGUACACAUUGGUGAAGACACAUUGGUGAAGUACAAAAAUAUAAAUUGGAUCUAGAAGAAAAGGCAAUGCAGGCAAUGGAAAAAUUAGUACAAAUCCCUUUACAGUAAUGAUUCUCAGUGUGGAGUCAUUUGAUUAUUAAGACCCAUUGACAUGAGAUUACAUCCUCUGCCUAUAAAAAUCCUGGAAGAAAACCUAGGAAAUAUUCAUCUGGACAUUGCACUUGGCAAUGAAUUUAUGGCAUGAGAAACUCUCAAGGGAUUGAGCAGACAGCCUACAGAAUGGAAGAAAAUAUUCACACACUAUGCAUACAGCAAAGGCCUAUUAUCCAGAAGCCAUAAGAGACUUAUGCAAAUCAACGAGCAAAAAAUAAAUAACCCCAUUAAAAAAUGGGCAAAGAACAUAAACAGACAGUUUUCAGAAGAACACAUAUGUGGCCAACAAACAUAUUAACACAUGCAUACCAUCACUAAUCAUCAGAGAAAUGCAAAACAAAACAGCAGUGAAAUACCAUCUCACACCAGUUAGAAUGACUUCUGUUAAAAAGGAAAAAUAAUAAAAAUAUUUAAAUAUUUAAUAUUAAAA